GUGAGGGGGGUAAAGUGGAGCCCCAAGUAAGGGGAGUAAGCCCAGGUGAGUCUCCAGAUGCCUGAGACUGAGAUUUGGGCCAUGGGCGGAGUGAACGGGGCUCAGUUCCAGAGUGAGAGAGGCAGGUCCUGACCCUGGUAAGUCCUCCAUUGCUGGGAGGCAGAGUGUGGGUCAAAUGUAACAUCCAUAGUAGCACCACGACCUGCUGCCCCGGGGGGGAGUGAGAGUCCCCUGUGAGACCCUGGGGCACCAGUCAUGGUGUGAGGUACCCCAGCUCCCCACAUCCAGGAAAGGGGACCUGGAGAGAGUGUGGGGCUAGUGAGGCUGGAGGUAGAGUGCCCCCUCGACUGGCCCAUGCUGGGGCCAGGACCAAGAAGGUUAAAAGGGCUAGGCACCCACCGCGAGGGGCACCCAGGUUCAUGGGCCUGGGACCCCGCCUGGCCUUUGAGGUGAGGCCAGGGCCUGUGUAUGGCCGAAGGUCCUGAGUGGGGACCAUGCUCAAGAGGGGAGCCAGCUACAAGGAGCUUGGCAGCCCAGAUGAAGGCGGCGUAGGCCACCGGAACAGAGGGAUUAACGGAGGGUCCUGCCAGGAGAAUUCUGGAGCCUAGUGUGAGGCUGGGGUGACUGUUAACAUCUGAAUGCCAUCUGCGAGGUUUGGGCUGUGGUGUAGGGGAGGAAUGGAGCUGCAGAUAGCGCCCCCUGGCAUCGAGGCAAAAAAAUGGGCAUCCUCCCACCCUAUUUAACAGCUUAUUAAUUUUCCAGCAAGUCAUGGCGGGUGAGACAGGCGGGCAGAGUGCCCGGAGGCAGGUGGGAGGCCAGCAAUGGCUGGCCUGAGAAAAGCCCACUUUGCCACAGAGAGGAUGGGGAAUACAGGACCCCCAGCCCCAGCUGAAAGUCGGUAUAGAGGGUGGUGGAAUGAGGGAGGCAGGCUAAGCGCUAAAGAAACAAGAAGCUGGGACACAAGGGAAGUGGUGUGUUUUAGGUGUGGAGAGAGGGGGCACAUAGCGAGGUACUGUAACAAAGAAGGAGGGAAUGAAGGGACCUACGAGUUUCCUCACAAAGAGCAGAUGGACUGCAGUUUCAGGAGGCACAAAGGGCCACAGCUCAAGGCUAAGCCUAUUGUGGAAGUGAAAAUAGGGGGUCUUAGUAGUGCUCGCUAUUGUUGAUAUGGGAUGCACCCAAACAAUGUUAAGGGCAGAUUUAGUGACACCAGUGAUGGGAGAAUUGAUGACCCCAGUAAAUAUGGUCUGUAUUUAUGGAGCCUCAUACACCUGUCAGAGGAAGAGAUUGAGGAUAAUGAUAUUAAACCAAACAGAAGAAAUCACAGCGGGCCUGGACGAGUCGCUUCCUUGUCCUAUGCUGUUGGGAACUGACUGGCCUCAUUUAAAAGAGGUUUAAAAGAGGUCACAAAAGCAAUGGGGGAACUUAGCACCCAAGAUUAUGUGAGGCAGGUUGAAGGAGUCUUGGCUGGGGCCAAGGUUUCAGCACUAGAAAUGGAUGGGGCCGAAGACAUAGGAAUAGAUUUGGAGGAGAUAAUAGGAGGAGGACACUUCAGAGAAUACCAAGAGCAGAAGCUGUUGUUUCAGAACAUCUAUGAAGAAAACCUAGGGAGGAAGAUGUACUUAGACCUGAGUUGGCAGAGGUGCUACCCCAGUUUGAGAAUAUCGAGCAGGAAUGAAGAACGUCAGAGCAGAUUUUUUGUCCUAAUAUACAACUAAUGAUGAUGAGGUACAGAAAAGAUCAGGAAGUGGGCAAAGAGAACAUGAAGAGAUGCUGCUGAUGGGAAGAUCAACAAGGGCACUCCGACUAAAGAGAGAGGUGUGUAACAGGGAGCCAGUGGCCCUGUGACAGAGCUGCCCGAGACGGUUUAAUUGCCCAUUAAGAACACGCAGCUUGGUGCUGUAGCUGAGUAGCAGACUUGUUGAUUGCUAAUUAAGGACUUCCGGACCGGCGGUGGGGCCAGCCAGGAGGGCAUUAAUUGCCACUUAAAGACCUUGUAUAAAGGAAUCAGAAACUGAAUGAACUGCAGCUGAGAACAAGCUGAAGCAACAAGCAGUUAUCCUCCGCGGAGGUGCAGGUUGGGGAAAGAAGAUAAAUUUUCCCUCCAAGACGACGGACGGUGGUGCCUGUGGAACGCCAGGAGCAAAGUCAGCAUGGUGAUCUCCAGGACAGGUACCCGAUGUCAAAAUAAGAGACUUUGAAUGCCAUGAGAAAGGGGCUGGAUGCUUAUGCAAUGGCCCGGGCAACUGUAUCUCCUUUGAGAGCUCGCCUCAUCCCUGGGAGGGGUGAGGGAAGAGGGAAGAUUACUAACAGCCAUACGCAGCAGUGAGACAGUGAGCAGCUGUUCCUUUCCUUUUUUCGGUGGAGGGCAGGAUGAGUUGUAGUUUGGGGCUUUCCAAACCCUAACAAAGUGUAACAGAUUGUGCCAAUGCAUUGUACCAGCAGGGGCCUGAACCCAUGACAGCUGCAAGAGACAGCAGCAGUGCAGGGAGCAGCAUGUUGUAGUCAUCAUUAAAAACUGGAAGCUUU